GCUACCAUGACUUUGAUCCCCGUCUUCAUCUGGACACUGAUCCUCUGGACUCAAGAAUGCAGAGGUCAAGCAACAGUAACUCAGACUCCUGCAGUGAAAUCUGUUCUUCCAGGACAAACAGUCACCAUCAACUGUAAAACCAGUCAGGCAGUGACUAACAACAACUACCUAAACUGGUAUCAGCAGAAAGCUGGAGAAGCUCCUAAAUUCCUGAUUAAAAAUGUAAAUCAGUUACAGUCGGGUUUUCCAGCUCGUUUCAGUGGCAGUGGAUCUGGAUCUGAUUUCACUCUGACCAUCAGUGGAGUCCAGACUGAAGAUGCAGGAGAUUAUUACUGUCAGAGUUACCAUGUCACUGGCUACUGGUUCACACAGUGA